CAGCCGCCACGGGAAUACGAAGGGUGCAAGCGUUAAUCGGAAUUACUGGGCGUAAAGCGCGCGUAGGUGGUUUGGUAAGAUGGAUGUGAAAUCCCCGGGCUCAACCUGGGAACUGCAUCCAUAACUGCCUGACUAGAGUACGGUAGAGGGUGGUGGAAUUUCCUGUGUAGCGGUGAAAUGCGUAGAUAUAGGAAGGAACACCAGUGGCGAAGGCGACCACCUGGACUGAUACUGACACUGAGGUGCGAAAGCGUGGGGAGCAAACAGGAUUAGAUACCCGCGUAGUCCCUGUCUCUUAUAC
rnacentral:rRNA from 1 species